CACGUAGGGUGCGAGCGUUGUCCGGAAUUAUUGGGCGUAAAGAGCUCGUAGGCGGUGUGUCGCGUCGGCCGUGAAAACCUGCAGCUUAACUGUGGGCUUGCGGUCGAUACGGGCAUCACUGGAGUUCGGCAGGGGAGACUGGAAUUCCUGGUGUAGCGGUGAAAUGCGCAGAUAUCGGGAAGAACACCCGUGGCGAAGGCGGUUCUCUGGGACGGU
rnacentral:rRNA from 1 species